rnacentral:tRNA from 1 species
GGAGAGGUAUCGAAGCGGUCACAACGACACCGACUCGAAAUCGGUUGGGGGCGCAAACCCCACGAGGGUUCGAAUCCCUCCCUCUCCG